UACCCGCUGAAACUAAGCAUAUCAAUAAGCGGAGGAAAAGAAACUAACAAGGAUUCCCCUAGUAACUGCGAGUGAAGCGGGAAGAGCUCAAAUUUGAAAUCUGGCGGUUCUGCCGUCCGAGUUGUAAUCUGGAGAAGCGUUUUCCGUGCCGGACCGUGUACAAGUCCCUUGGAACAGGGCGUCAUAGAGGGUGAGAAUCCCGUCUUUGACACGGACUCCCGGUGCUCUGCGAUGCGCUCUCGAAGAGUCGAGUUGUUUGGGAAUGCAGCUCAAAAUGGGUGGUAAAUUCCAUCUAAAGCUAAAUAUUGGCGAGAGACCGAUAGCGAACAAGUACCGUGAGGGAAAGAUGAAAAGCACUUUGGAAAGAGAGUAAAACAGUACGUGAAAUUGUUGAAAGGGAAACGCUUGGAGUCAGUCGCGUCUUCCGGAACUCAGCCUUGCUUCUGCUAGGUGCACUUUCCGGUUCGACGGGUCAGCAUCGGCUUUGGGAGGCGGACAAAGGCGCGGGGAAGGUGGCAGCUCCGGCUGUGUUAUAGCCCCGCGUUGUACGCGUCUCCCGGGACCGAGGAAUCCGGCGCUCGUCGCCUGGGAUGCUGGCGUAAUGGCUUUAAGCGACCCGUCUUGAAACACGGACCAAGGAGUGCUACAUGCUCGCGAGUGUUUGGGUGGAAAACCCGAGCGCGCAAUGAAAGUGAAAGUCGAGACCCUUUGCGGGGGCACCGACGCCCGAGCCUGAAGUUUACGGACGGCCUUGCGGUAGAGCGAGUAUGUUGCGACCCGAAAGAUGGUGAACUAUUCCUGAGGAGGGCGAAGCCAGAGGAAACUCUGGUGGAGGCUCGUAGCGGUUCUGACGUGCAAAUCGAUCGCAGGACUUGGGUAUAGGGGCGAAAGACUAAUCGAACYCAUCUAGUAGCUGGUUCCUGC
rnacentral:rRNA from 1 species